GUUAUAAACAGAGCCACGCAGCAUUUCAUCAGCGUGAAGUGUGUCAUCGAAAUCGAAACUACAUUUACAGUUUGCUUCUUUCAGUUUCAUCCAUGUUCCAAGUAUUAAGUCGUGUGGAAUACCUUUCAUAUACAGAAGCUCUGUGCAGCACGAGUAUAACCUCGAGCAGGUGAGGCAAGCAGCAGCUCUAAACCUUUGUCUUCCAGGUCCUGCCGGGUGGGCUGUAUACUCCGACAUACAAAGUCAGGAGACAGUCUGAUGUACCACAAUGGGCAGGAGUUCGCCACAAAGGAUCACGGGAAGCUACAGGCUUUGACAUGUGCUCUGAAGUUACAACUCCAACCUCAACGGCGUCUACAUCACCAACGCGCCGCUGCCCCACUUGAAUGGGGUCACGUGGUUUACUUUCGGUCAAAGUUACAAAUCGUUGAAACGAGCGGAAAUGAAAAUACGACCUGUGUAACGGCAGAAGUUCGGAAAUUAAAAUGUUGUUUCUUGUGCAUUUUAG